rnacentral:rRNA from 1 species
CGUGUAUGUAAACACACUUGUGAACCCGUUGUAGUUCGAGUCCAUCGAAAAGUAGUGUCGAACUACCUAAUAGAGGGCUAAUUGACUUAUCGAAAUGUAAGAAGUUUAUUGAAAAGUAGCAUGAACUACCUAAUAGAAAGUUUAGUACAUAAUAGAGGACUGGUUGGCUUAUUGAAAAGUACCUAAUAGAGGGUCAGUUGGCUUUUCGAAAAGUAAGAGGCUUAUUGAAAAGUAGUGUAAACUACCUAAUAGAAAGCUUAGUACCUAAUAGAGGGCUGGUUGGCUUAUCGAAAAGUACCUAAUAGAGGGUCAGGCGGCUUAUCGAAGUAUAUAGAGGCUUAUCGAAAAGUGGUGUCGACUACCUAAUAGAAAGCUUAGUACCUAAUAGAGAGCUAGUUGGCUUAUCGAAAAGACUACUUAAUAGAGUGACCCAGCAGAUCUAUGUUUAAUCUACUCCACAUCGUAUGUCCAGAAAAUAUAAAUAAAUUACAACUUUCAGCAAUGGAUCUCUUGGUACUCGCAUAAAUGAAGAACGCAGCGAAUCGCGUUAAGUAAUGUGAAUUGCAGAUUUUCAGGGAAUCAUCGAAUCUUUGAACGCACCUUGCGCCCCUUGGUAUUCCGAGGUGCAUGCCUGUUUGAGUGUCAUUUUAUCAUCAACUCAUUAGUCUUUGAUUAGUCUUUUGGGCUUGGACUUGGGAAUUGCUGGCUUGAUCUUUUUACCCAUUGAACAGUAUCUCAGGAUACUGAAUAGAGGGCAAAGUGUAGUCGGCUGUCCUUAAAUGCAAUUGCGAGUGUUAGUCUACAUGGCACGGCCUCUUGACGUGAUAAUGAUCGUCGUGGGCUGAAAGUGUAAUGUC